rnacentral:rRNA from 1 species
UUCCGGUUGAUCCUGCCGGAGGCCAUUGCUAUCGGAGUCCGAUUUAGCCAUGCUAGUCGUACGGGUUUAGACCCGUGGCGAAUAGCUCAGUAACACGUGGCCAAGCUACCCUACGGACCGGAAUAACCUCGGGAAACUGAGGCUAAUACCGGAUAUCGCUCCUUUGCUUGAAUGCGGGGAGCAGCAAAGUUCCGACGCCGUAGGAUGCGGCUGCGGCCGAUUAGGUUGACGGUGGGGUAACGGCCCACCGUGCCGAUAAUCGGUACGGGUUGUGAGAGCAAGAACCCGGAGACGGAAUCUGAGACAAGAUUCGGGGCCCUACGGGGCGCAGCAGGCGCGAAACCUUUACACUGCACGAACGUGCGAUAAGGGGACUCCGAGUGCGAGGACAUACUAGUCCUCGCUUUUGUGUACCGUAAGGCGGUACACGAAUAAGGGCUGGGCAAGACCGGUGCCAGCCGCCGCGGUAAUACCGGCAGCCCGAGUGAUGGCCAAUAUUAUUGGGCCUAAAGCGUCCGUAGCUGGU